rnacentral:rRNA from 2 species
UGGGGGAUAUUGCGCAAUGGGGGAAACCCUGACGCAGCAAUGCCGCGUGAAGGAUUGAAGGUCUUCGGAUUGUAAACUUCUUUUGUCAGGGACGAUAAUGACGGUACCUGACGAAUAAGCUCCGGCUAACUACGUGCCAGCAGCCGCGGUAAUACGUAGGGAGCAAGCGUUGUCCGGAUUUACUGGGUGUAAAGGGUGCGUAGGCGGGCUUGCAAGUCAGCUGUGAAAUCUAUGGGCUCAACCCAUAAAUUGCAGUUGAAACUGUAGGUCUUGAGUGAAGUAGAGGCAGGCGGAAUUCCCAGUGUAGCGGUGAAAUGCGUAGAGAUUGGGAGGAACACCAGUGGCGAAGGCGGCCUGCUGGGCUUUAACUGACGCUGAGGCACGAAAGCAUGGGUAGCAAACAGG